rnacentral:tRNA from 1 species
GCCGGGGUGCCCGAGCGGUCUAAGGGGCUGGCCUGGAGAGCCAGUGCCCCGAAAGGGGCGCGCGGGUUCAAAUCCCGCCCCCGGCGCCU